rnacentral:sRNA from 1 species
UCACGAAGUGCGUUUCCUUCCAUGGU